UUGAACGCUGGCGGCAGGCUUAACACAUGCAAGUCGAGCGGGGUGAUGUAGCUUGCUACAUUACCUAGCGGCGGACGGGUGAGUAAUGCUUAGGAAUCUGCCUAUUAGUGGGGGACAACAUUCCGAAAGGAAUGCUAAUACCGCAUACGCCCUACGGGGGAAAGCAGGGGAUCUUCGGACCUUGCGCUAAUAGAUGAGCCUAAGUCAGAUUAGCUAGUUGGUGGGGUAAAGGCCUACCAAGGCGACGAUCUGUAGCGGGUCUGAGAGGAUGAUCCGCCACACUGGGAGUGAGACACGGCCCAGACUCCUACGGGAGGCAGCAGUGGGGAAUAUUGGACAAUGGGCGAAAGCCUGAUCCAGCCAUGCCGCGUGUGUGAAGAAGGCCUUUUGGUUGUAAAGCACUUUAAGCGAGGAGGAGGCUACUUAGAUUAAUACUCUAGGAUAGUGGACGUUACUCGCAGAAUAAGCACCGGCUAACUCUGUGCCAGCAGCCGCGGUAAUACAGAGGGUGCGAGCGUUAAUCGGAUUUACUGGGCGUAAAGCGUGCGUAGGCGGCUUUUUAAGUCGGGAUGUGAAAUCCCUGAGCUUAACUUAGGAAUUGCAUUCGAUACUGGGAAGCUAGAGUAUGGGAGAGGAUGGUAGAAUUCCAGGUGUAGCGGUGAAAUGCGUAGAGAUCUGGAGGAAUACCGAUGGCGAAAGGCAGCCAUCUGGCCUAAUACUGACGCUGAGGUACGAAAGCAUGGGGAGCAAACAGGAUUAGAUACCCUGGUAGUCCAUGCCGUAAACGAUGUCUACUAGCCGUUGGGGCCUUUGAGGCUUUAGUGGCGCAGCUAACGCGAUAAGUAGACCGCCUGGGGAGUACGGUCGCAAGACUAAAACUCAAAUGAAUUGACGGGGGCCCGCACAAGCGGUGGAGCAUGUGGUUUAAUUCGAUGCAACGCGAAGAACCUUACCUGGUCUUGACAUAGUAAGAACUUUCCAGAGAUGGAUUGGUGCCUUCGGGAACUUACAUACAGGUGCUGCAUGGCUGUCGUCAGCUCGUGUCGUGAGAUGUUGGGUUAAGUCCCGCAACGAGCGCAACCCUUUUCCUUAUUUGCCAGCGGGUUAAGCCGGGAACUUUAAGGAUACUGCCAGUGACAAACUGGAGGAAGGCGGGGACGACGUCAAGUCAUCAUGGCCCUUACGACCAGGGCCACACACGUGCUACAAUGGUCGGUACAAAGGGUUGCUACCUAGCGAUAGGAUGCUAAUCUCAAAAAGCCGAUCGUAGUCCGGAUUGGAGUCUGCAACUCGACUCCAUGAAGUCGGAAUCGCUAGUAAUCGCGGAUCAGCAUGUCACGGUGAAUACGUUCCCGGGUCU
rnacentral:rRNA from 1 species